GUUAUGGCUGUAUUGCCCAGGCUGGAGUGCAGUGCAGUGGCAUGAUCACGGCUCACUGCAGCCUUGACUUUCUGGGACUGAAGCCGUCCUCCCACCUCAGCUUCCUGGGAAGCCAGGACUACAGGGCAGUGAAAAUAAAGGAAUGAGGCAUUCAGGAAAAGAAGAGAGCACAGAGGGAUUUUUUGAUGGAGAAAAAAAAAAAAACCACAGAUGAGAUUAGAAGAAGAUCUGCUACAGCAACAGAAAAAGAGAAUGCCAAGAAGGGGAAGAGUGAAGGCUGGAGAGCGGAAGCCAGUGCCAAAACAUUCCGAAGCUACCCAACAUCUAAGAAAGGUGGCCUGAGGGAGAUUGCAAGCACUAACCGCUAAACGCUAAAUGAAGGGUUAGAUCUUAUCUAUGUCCAGAAGAAGUAAUAAGAAAGAAUGCGUAUCUCCAAAAGCUGAAAGAUUUGGACAGGACCCAAGGCGGAGGCCUGGCAUUUUUCUAAAUUGAGAUGCCAAUCCCAUCAUACCUUAGGACUAUAAGAUUCAAGGAUGAAGACUGGCUCCCCCCGUGGGGCAAAAUCAGUGGAUGGGACACAACACAUCUGCCAUCAUGAUGAAAACAGUAAACCUCUACUGAGGCUCCACUCUUGAAGCGUGCCUCUGUCAGACCCUAGUUAUCCAAGGCUGGUGCUCAAGGGAAAAAGGACGCAGUCUUGGAAGGCCAGGAAGCUUCUGUCUUACUCAUUAGCCUGAUAUGCCAGCUCCAUGUAGGUAUUCUUAAGUCUUUCUUUUUUUUUUUCUUUUGAAAUGGAGUCUUGCUCUGUCACCAGUGCAAUGGUGCCUCUUGGCUCACCACAACCUCCGCCUCCCAGGUUCAAGCGAUUCUCCUGCCUCAGCCUCCUGAGUAUCUGGGACUACAGGUGUGUGCCACCACGCCCAGCUAGUUUUUGUAUUUUUAGUAGAAACGGGGUUUCACCAUAUUGGCCAGGCUGGUCUCGAACUCCUGAUCUCAAGUGAUCUGCCUGCCUCGAGGUAUUCUUAGUCUUAAAUGUGCUGCUGUAGACACAUAUUAUUGUCACAUAGGUUAAUAUUUCUCUUGGAGAAAGAACUGAGGCAGGACACCUGAAGGUACUCUUUCAGGCAACAUUUUCACUUAGGAAAGUUCUAAAUUGAGUUUGUAUCAUUCCCUGUCCCUCCUCCUCUCCCUUUCUCUUUUCUCUUCCCUUCUCUCAUUGUCCAAAAGAUUAAAUAAAACAAAAACCUACACACAAAAGCAACAGGGAGAUCAAGAUGGUAAAGACCAAGCUCAUGUUUUAUUAGUUAGCAGACAGUGGGGCUCAGGCCGCAAGCGUCUAUGGUGGGGCCAGGAGGGGGCAGAAACUAACAUUUAUUGGGCAUUCACCAUCUGCUAGGAUCAUAAAUACUUUACCUCAUUAUAAUUCUCACAUCAAGCCUUUGGGGUGGGUGUUAUUUUCCUUAUUUUACAGGUGAGGAAAUUAAGGUUGCCUAAGCUUACCCAGCUAGUGAUCCAAACCCAUCUUCCUGGCUCUGAAGCCAAGUCUGACUCGACACCUUCCAUGUCUGUCUCUUUCCCGUUCUGGCCUUUGUCAUUAAAACCAACAGUAUCAGAAAGAUGCACUCCAAAGGUAGCAAAUGACAUUGGUAGCAACUUCAAGGGUCUUUGCGGGAAAUAAAAAAAUAAAAUAAAAAGUGAGGUCUUUACC